UACAGAGGUCCCAAGCGUUGUUCGGAUUCACUGGGCGUAAAGGGUGCGUAGGUGGCGAGGUAAGUCGGAUGUGAAAGCUCGGAGCUCAACUCCGAAAUGGCAUUGGAAACUACCUUACUCGAGGGUUGGAGGGGGACUGGAAUGGCUUGGUGGUAGCAGUGAAAUGCGUAGAUAUCAAGCGGAACACCAGUGGCGAAGGCGAGUCCCUGGACAACUCCUGACACUGAGGCACGAAAGCUAGGGGAGCAAACAGG
rnacentral:rRNA from 1 species